UGGGGAAUAUUGCACAAUGGGGGAAACCCUGAUGCAGCGACGCCGCGUGAACGAAGAAGGUAUUCGCAUCGUAAAGUUCUGUCCUAUGGGAAGAUAAUGACAGUACCAUAGAAGAAAGCUCCGGCUAAAUACGUGCCAGCAGCCGCGGUAAUACGUAUGGAGCGAGCGUUGUCCGGAAUUAUUGGGCGUAAAGGGUACGCAGGCGGUUUAAUAAGUCGAAUGUUAAAGAUCGGGGCUCAACCCCGUAAAGCAUUGGAAACUGAUAAACUUGAGUAGUGGAGAGGAAAGUGGAAUUCCUAGUGUAGUGGUGAAAUACGUAGAUAUUAGGAGGAAUACCAGUAGCGAAGGCGACUUUCUGGACACAAACUGACGCUGAGGUACGAAAGCGUGGGGAGCAAACAGG
rnacentral:rRNA from 1 species